AUCUGUUCCGCAAAAAAAUCUGUUGCGCAGUUUCUCUGUCGAAAUGUCAAACUUAAUUUGAGUAUUUCCCUGUUAGCGUGUAGCCGAUCAGAUUUGACUUUUCUCGGCAAUGUUUUGGUUGUUCGACUUCGGAUUUUCGCUACGUUGAUCAGACAAUGCAGAAUGUUCAUCGCAGGCUGGCUUAAAUCUGCGAUCUGGGAAUGGCUCAAAAUUGUCAACUCAACCGCCGGUGUUAAUCGCAAGAAACGGGACCAGGUGUACAAGACAUUUGGAGCAGCAAUUAGAUCAAUGAGGAUUUCAUUCCGUCUGAAUCUUGGACCGGGCCAAGAAUUUCUGUGAUCGGAAAAGGGCUUGGGAAAGAACCUGAAGAAGUUCGGCUUGAUUGUUUUGCCAUAAUUGAUGCGAUAAAUAAAACAUACGACUAAACAAA
rnacentral:lncRNA from 1 species